CAUGGAUCGGGAGUGCUCAGAGAUGGGUGUGCCUCUUUUGGGGUCGGUUCACAGGUGGUGCAUGGCUGUCGUCAGCUCGUGUCGUGAGAUGUUGGGUUAAGUCCCGCAACGAGCGCAACCCUUGUUCACUGUUGCCAGCACGUUAUGGUGGGGACUCAGUGGAGACCGCCGGGGUCAACUCGGAGGAAGGUGGGGAUGACGUCAAGUCAUCAUGCCCCUUAUGUCCAGGGCUUCACGCAUGCUACAAUGGCUGGUACAGAGAGUGGCGAGCCUGUGAGGGUGAGCGAAUCUCGGAAAGCCGGUCUCAGUUCGGAUUGGGGUCUGCAACUCGACCUCAUGAAGUCGGAGU
rnacentral:rRNA from 1 species